AGCAGCCGCGGUAAUUCCAGCUCCAAUAGCGUAUAUUAAAGUUGUUGCAGUUAAAAAGCUCGUAGUUGAAUUUCGAGACCGGUUUACUGGUCGUGCUUUUGUACGUACUGGUAUUAUUGGUUUCUCCUUUCUGACGAAUCAUAAUGCCAUUAAUUUGGUGUUUUGGGGAAUCAGGACUGUUACUUUGAAAAAAUUAGAGUGUUUAAAGCAGGCUCACGCUUGAAUACAUUAGCAUGGAAUAACGAAAUAGGACGUUUGAUUUUAUUUUGUUGGUUUCUAGGAUCGACGUAAUGAUUAAUAGGGAUAGUUGGGGGCAUUAGUAUUCAAUUGUCAGAGGUGAAAUUCUUGGAUUUAUUGAAGACUAACUACUGCGAAAGCAUUUGCCAAGGAUGUUUUCAUUAAUCAAGAACGAAAGUUAGGGGAUCGAAGACGAUCAGAUACCGUCGUAGUCUUAACCAUAAACUAUGCCGACUAGGGAUCGGAUGAUGUUAAUUUUUAAUGUACU
rnacentral:rRNA from 1 species